UCACGGACCUCUCUCCUAUUCUCUCUCUCUUCCCGGACCUCCCUCUCUCUCUUCACGGAUCCUCCCUCUCUCUAUGUUCAGCAGUAGCGAUGGAUGCGAUAGCAGCGAUGCAACAGCCAUUGAAGCCCCCUGGGCUUGGGCAUCGCCUUUCCUCUUUAUCAACCAUUGCAGCCCUCUCAGCCCACACAGAGGGAUGGACACCUCUCUUUGUAACUGCAGCAGCAGCAGCGCAUCCCUCUCUCUCUGUCUAUAUGCAGCCAUUGAAGCCCCUGAGCUUGGGCAUCUCUCUCUUUUUAGUAACUAUUGAAGCCCUCUGAGCCCACACAGAAAUAGAAGCCCUAUCGUCCCUCACCAUUAGCAACUAUUACCUCGCAACUGUAGCCCAUCCCAUCUCUAAAGGCAGAGAGAACAAAUUCAUAUGGAACAACUUCAAAGGAGGGGCUCUGUUGCUUUUUUUUUUUUUUUUUGAAAAGUUUGUUGUUAAACUAUUGGCAUUAUUGAUGUAGGUUUUAUGUUAUUCACUCAAAAAAAAGAUAUAGGUUGUAUGCCAUUGUACUCUUUUCACUUCUUUUUGGGUUGUUAGGUGAUAUGUAAGGUGAUUGGGUACAAGGAACGAAACAUUAUUUGAUAAUGGGCAGGACUACUGAACUUUAUAUGAACAAUUUUUUAAUUGAAUGGACUACCCCAUUUGGCAGGUAGUUGAUGAAUUUGUAUGUAAUAUUAUAGUUAUCAAAUGCAAUGUAUUAUCACUAUGGCAAUAAUUUGUCAA